rnacentral:rRNA from 1 species
UUAAAUAAUUUUAUUUUAUUUUUAAUUUAUUAAUUAAUAGUUUUAUGAAAAAUCAAUUUAUUAAGUAACUUUUACAGAAUUUUUAUUUUAAUUAUAGUUUAUAUGUACAGUGAUGGAUUAAUUUAUAAUAUUAAAAGAAGAAUUUAUUUUGUACCUUGUGUAUCAGGAUUGAUUAAUUUUUUUUUAAAUAAAUUGAUCUCGAAACAAUAAGAGUUAACUAUAUAUAAAUUUUUAUAUUUCAUAAUAAUUUAUAAUAUAUAAUUGGUAAUGAUAUAUUAUUCGGUUAUUGUAAUAUCUAGUUUAAGAAGAAAUUAAUUUAAUUAAAGUUAAAUUUUAAUUUAUUAAUUUUUUAUUUUAAUUAAAAUUUAAUUUAACCUUUAGAGGGAUUAGCUUUUAUAGGAAAGUUUUAAAUUUAGGUGAUAAUUUAUUUUUUAUAGGAUUAUUAGUGUUCAUAAUAUAAUUUUGUAAUAAUUUAUAAUUUAUUUUGAUUUAUUAUUAAUUGAUAUUUUUAUUCUUACUUUUUAUUUAAUGAUGAUUUAUAAAAGAAAAUGAUUAAAUUAGUAUAUUUUUAAGUAAAAGAAAAUUAAUUAUUUACGUAUUAUAAAGGAACUCGGCAAAUUAAGUUUUUGCCUGUUUAUUAAAAACAUGUCUUUAAGAAUUUAAAUUUAAAGUCUGGCCUGCCCAGUGAUUAUUUUAACGGCUGCAGUAUCUUGACUGUACAAAGGUAGCAUAAUCAUUAGUUUCUUAAUUAGGAACUGGAAUGAAAGGUUUAACAAGAAGCUUACUGUCUCAGUAAUAUUUAUAAUGAAAGUUUACUUUUAAGUUAAAAGGCUUAAAUUUUUAUUUAAGACGAGAAGACCCCAUAGAGUUUUAUAGUUCAUAAAUUUUAUAGUUUUGUAAUUUCAAUAUUUUAUUUCUAAGCUAUUUUAUUGGGGUGAUAAUAUAAUUUAUAUAACUUAUAUUUUAUAGAACAUAAGUUAAUGAUUAAUUGAUCCAUUUUUUAUGAUUAUAGGAAUCAAUUACCUUGGGGAUAACAGCGUUAUUUUUCUUGAGAGCUCUUAUCGAUAGAAUAGAUUGCGACCUCGAUGUUGGAUUAAAAUUAAAAUAGGGCGCAAUAGUUUUAUAUUUUGGUCUGUUCGACCAUUGAAAUUUUACAUGAUCUGAGUUUAGACCGGCGUGAGCCAGGUUGGUUUCUAUCUUAAUAUAAAAUUAAGCUUUAGUACGAAAGGGCCGGGUUUA